UGGGGAAUAUUGGGCAAUGGGCGAAAGCCUGACCCAGCAACGCCGCGUGAAGGAAGAAGGUUUUCGGAUCGUAAACUUCUAUCCUAGGUGAAGAUAAUGACGGUAGCCUAGAAGGAAGCCCCGGCUAACUACGUGCCAGCAGCCGCGGUAAUACGUAGGGGGCAAGCGUUGUCCGGAAUGAUUGGGCGUAAAGGGCGCGUAGGCGGCCUUCUAAGUCCGAUGUGAAAGUCCUGCUUUUAAGGUGGGAAUUGCAUUGGAAACUGGAGGGCUUGAGUGCAGGAGAGGUAAGUGGAAUUCCCGGUGUAGCGGUGAAAUGCGUAGAGAUCGGGAGGAACACCAGUGGCGAAGGCGACUUACUGGACUGUAACUGACGCUGAGGCGCGAAAGUGUGGGGAGCAAACA
rnacentral:rRNA from 1 species